ensembl:lncRNA
UAUGGAAAGCCAAGAAGGCCACAAUCCGGCCCUAGAAUGGCGCGGUGAAAGUGCAAAACCGCACGGAAACCGUACGGAAAUCGUACGGAAACCGUACGGAUUCCGUACGGAUUCCGUACGGUUUGGCAAGAAUUCCGUACGGUUUCCGUACGGAUUCCGUACGUGGUGAUGUCAUCGUGGUGAUGUUGGGCUUGUUGUGGGCUUAUAUGUGAUCAAUGAUGUAUCUGUCUGAUCUUAUUAGCUGUAGAUGGAUGGUUAAAUAAUGUCACAAGAGCGGUCAUACUGCAGGCUCUCAUUUGCAAAUGCACUGAUUGUGUGCCCGUCUCCGAUAUGCUAUAUACCUGGCAUUUAUUCAGUUCAUGUUCUUCUGAGUGCGCAAGAACGGUGCCAAUUAUUGUCGUGUUUGCAUUGUAAUGCACAACUUUGCCCCUUCCUGUUAUAAAAUAACGUGCAUCGCAACAACUUUAGCCAAUGCAGGCUCCUAUUGCUUUACCAGUGUGUUUAAAGUAUGUGCGUGUGUGUGUGUGUGUGUGUUGUCAUGUAGGCUAUAGAUAUAGAUUGAUUGUCUUGGCUUGCUUGCAUCCAUGAAAUAUUGUAACGUCAAGUAGAAACACUUCCUUCAACAACUUGCUCUACACACGCACACACACACACGACUCUCUCCGACCACAUGUCACAAGAUCGGUCAUACUGCAUGCUCUCAUUUGCAAAUGCACUGAUUGUGUGCCCGUCUCCGAUAUGCUAUAUACCUGGCAUUUAUUCAGUUCAUGUUCAUGCUAUGUAAUGUUAUGGCCUAGCUGGCUACUGCAUAUCGAGAACAAUCUGGGGAUGAGGACAUCCUAACAUAUACAAAUAUAUCACUGUACUAGACACAAAUGUAUUUUCCACUAGCUAAUCGUGGUCAUUACAUUGUAGUGAAACUAGUAAAGACAACACAGCUUUAUGUUACAGCGAAACAUGGAGGCACUGCAGCUCUGAUUGGUUAGACAGCCUUCAAACUUAGUGGUCAAGCAAAGAAGAGGGAGGGGCUCGUUCUGCAUACCUAAUAGCCGGAGUGAAUAACUAAUAGCCGGAGUGAAUGACUAAUAGCCGGAGUGAAUGACUAAUAGCCGGGCUAUUAGUCAUUCAAAACCGUACGGAAACCGUACGGAUUCCGUGCGGUUUUGCACUUUUACCGCGCCAUUCUAGGGCCGGAUUGUGGCCUUCUUGGCUUUCCAUAUUCGUAGGCCGCAUUUGAAGGACCCUUGGAACUGGGACAGCACUUGGCGCGUCGCUGUGACGCAAUCGGCGUCGACGCAUCCUUCGAAUGCAGCCUUCGAAGGAUGCGUCCUAGGAAUUGGGACACAGCCCAACGGUCGGCUGACGGCCACCGCGGCGGCCAUCUUGAAUGGGUCAACCCGCUGCCUAGUAUGGCAAGCCUAUUUGACAUAAAUUCGCUAGACUGGAUACGUGCAAGUUAUCUUAAGAUAUCUGCAAUUCCGUUUCGCCUAGUCAAAACUAACAUUUCGGAUAUCCGCAACUACUGUACAUUCCUCCUAUCCACAAUUGUCAUUUCAGAUAUCCACAAAGACAUUCCUCGGCGAAAUGACGUCAUUUUCGCCAUUCAUGCCUAUGGGGUUUCUCAUUGCAGAUAUCUACAAUUCAGUUGCGGAUAUCCACUUUGUGAAUUACGGAUAUCUGCAACUGAAUUGUAGAUAUCUGUAAUUCCAGUUUGAGAUAUCUACAAUUUGAUUCUGACUAGUCAUAAUUCCUGUUCAAGAUAUCUUUAAUUCACCUCAAAUCAAGAUAUCUACCCUUAUCUAUGUCCCUUUUCAGAUAUCUUAAAUUAAGUUUUGACUAGUCAAAACUGAAUUACAGAUAUCUCUGUCGUUUCGACUAGUCACAAUUACGUUACAGAUAUCUUGAAUCAAAAUUCCAACUAUUCAAAAUGUAAUUACGACUAGUCAGAAAGAAGCUGUUGAUAUCUACAAUGUUAAUUCCGGAUAGUCAAACUUAGUUAAUAAAUGACAAUUCGGCCUAGUGCAUUACACCAUAGGAAAGUUCAUGCAAACAUGUAGCAAAUUUGAGCGGUGAUGGCUCAGUGGAUGACACUAAAAACAUCAUAGAUGAUAUUCCAUUUUUGAUUUUAAGUGGUAGGAAGAUCUUUUUCCUCUAUGUUAUACAAAAAAAAAAUGUUUUAACACCUGACAUUUAAUUUGCCACUGAUUAUAUCUACUAUCAGAAAUGUUUCUGCUGGACUGAGAUGAAAAUUGUAUUUCUCAAAAAGUAAAUAUCUUAUCCAUUUAGCUUAUAACUCUCAAACCACUCUAACACUGCAUCACACUGGACUAGAACCAGCAACCCUCCAGACUGAGAUACAACUGGAACUAUUGAUAGAAUUUAUUUCAGACAUAUCAAAUACAAAUGAAAUAUGUGAAAAAUAUAAAACAAA